CACGUAGUUAGCCGUGGCUUUCUGAUUAGGUACCGUCAAGACGUGCAUAGUUACUUACACAUUUGUUCUUCCCUAAUAACAGAGUUUUACGAUCCGAAGACCUUCAUCACUCACGCAGCGUUGCUCCGUCAGGCUUUCGCCCAUUGCGGAAGAUUCCCUACUGCUGCCUCCCGUAGGAGUCUGGACCGUGUCUCAGUUCCAGUGUGGCCGAUCACCCUCUCAGGUCGGCUACGCAUCGUUGCCUUGGUAAGCUGUUACCUUACCAACUAGCUAAUGCGGCGCGGAUCCAUCUAUAAGUGACAGCAAAACCGUCUUUCACUAUUGAACCAUGCGGUUCAAUAUAUUAUCCGGUAUUAGCUCCGGUUUCCCGAAGUUAUCCCAGUCUUAUAGGUAGGUUAUCCACGUGUUACUCACCCGUCCGCCGCUAACGUUAGAGGAGCAAGCUCCUCGUCUGUUCGCUCGACUUGCAUGUAUUAGGCACGCCGCCAGCGUUCA
rnacentral:rRNA from 1 species